UACAUGGGGUGCAAACGUUGCUCGGAAUUAUUGGGCGUAAAGCGCGCGUAGGCGGUUACUUAAGUCGGAUGUGAAAGCCCUCGGCUUAACUGAGGAAGUGCACCCGAAACUGAGUAGCUAGAGUACUAAAGAGGGUCGCGGAAUUCCCGGUGUAGAGGUGAAAUUCGUAGAUAUCGGGAGGAACACCGGUGGCGAAGGCGGCGACCUGGGUAGAUACUGACGCUGAGGAGCGAAAGCGUGGGGAGCAAACAGG
rnacentral:rRNA from 1 species